CGACAACUUCCUUCAUUUUAUAUGAGACAUGUCAUAUUUUUUGGAUGAUUGCUGAUAUAGUGGACCGAAAUAUUCCUCUUCAUCUAAUACUAAUAAAUUUAUUGUGAUGUGAAAAUUUAAAGAACAUGGAAAAUGAUGACCGACAUUGACCAGCCAGACAGACAUUUUUAUACCCUCCACCAAAAAAAGUAUGCAGGGUAUAUUGAGUUCAUCAUUCCGUUUGUAACUCAUCGAAAUAAUCAUUUUAGACCCAACAAAGUAUAUAUAUUCUUAAUCAGCGUAAAAUUCUAAGACGAUUUAGCACUAUUCCUUUUAAUUAAUUUUAUUAUUUUAUAUUACAGUGAACUUGACGGAAUAUUUCUGGAGAAAAAGUCAAUAAAUCCCGAAUAUGUGUUGGACAACGAAGCUGAGGUUACGACGGAAGACCUUUUAACUGCUGAUUCAUUAAAUAUUUCUGAAACAGAAAAUCUGGACCCGCUUCCAUCAACCUCGAAAAAAAGGAAGACUAAUGGCCAAGAUUAUUUAAUGGAGUAUGCUAAGGAAAGGAAGGAGAGUGAAAAGCAGUUAAGAGAACUAAUAGAAAGAAUGUUAAAAAAACGCGAAGAAAGGGCCUUGCGAAAAGAGGAAUUGGAGACCAAAAAAAUUGAACUUCUGCAAUCUCUAAUAAAUUCCUUAAAGAAAUAAAUUUUAAUGAUCAUGUUUUUACAAUA